UUAAGUAGCUCUUUCAUGAACUGCUUAUGACUAGACCAGCAAUGAUCCAUGUUCCAUUUAAAUUUCCUUUGGAAUAUUUGCAUAUCAUGAGUCUUGGUAAUGGUCCCUAAUUCCAAACAUGAAAUUUAUUUGCAUGAUAUAUAAAAUAUGUGCACAUGCCUUGGAGAUAUUUUAUAUAAUACUUUCAGUGCCAUUGUUUUUCGAUCUGGGCUGGAUACAUGAGAGCACUUGUGGAAUUUUCAAACUGUGUACCAUGUGAAUGCAUGAGCAGCAGAAGCCAGAAGAGGUCAAUAACCCCCUGGAACUAUGGUUACAGGAGACUUGUUGUCGUGUUGCUGUCUCAGCUUCAAUGCCUGUGGCCAUCUCUCCAAAGCCCUGUUGUGCAACAAAUACCUCUCUCUUCUUGACCUGGGGUCAAACAUCCUGGAAGAUACUGGAUUGAACUUUCUGUGUGAAGCUUUGAAGGACCCAAAGUGCACCCUUCAGGAGUUAUGUGUCUCCACAGAGUCUGUGGUGAAGCCGACCACUCAUGACCCAUCUAUGGCUCAGCAUUCAUAUUCACUUGCUCUCAGCAUUUUUGACCAGUUGUGAAUCUGCAUUAACC